GGAUGUGAGGGCAAUCUGGCUGUGACAUCUGUCACCCCGUUGAUGGCCAGGGUUGAUUCAGCCAAUCUAGCUGGCUAGGCGAUUGUCCCCUUCCUCUCUCAGCGCUCCAUGUGUGCGUCCCUCCCAAACGUGUGCUUGGUCACAGAGGAUGACGACCACCAAUAGAGGAGGACAGUUCAUCUGUCAAGGGUAUAUGAGUAGCUGCGCUGCCCUGCUAGAACCUCCAAACAAGCUCUAAUCCCCUUUUUAAUUCAUCAUAGAUAGCCAUUAAAUGCAUUUGGUGGGUACCUUUCCCAUCUGC
rnacentral:snRNA from 1 species